GACGAACGCUGGCGGCGUGCUUAACACAUGCAAGUCGAACGGAAAGGCCCCUUUGGGGGUACUCGAGUGGCGAACGGGUGAGUAACACGUGAGUAACCUGCCCUUCACUUCGGGAUAACUUCAGGAAACUGGGGCUAAUACCGGAUAGGAAUCCUUGCUGCAUGGUGGGGGUUGGAAAGCUUCGGCGGUUUGGGAUGGAUUCGCGGCUUAUCUGCUUGUUGGUGGGGUAGUGGUUUACCAAGGCUUGGACGGUUAGCUGGCCGGGGAGGGCGACCGGCCACAUGGGGCUGGGGAAAGGCCCAGAAUCCUAAGGGGAGGAACCGGGGGGAAUAUUGGACAAUGGGCGGGAGGCUGAUGCAGCAACGCCGCGUGCGGGAUGACGGGCUUCGGGUUGUAAAACGCUUUCAGCAGGGGAGAAGCUUGUGGUGACGGUACCUGGAGAAGAAGCACCGGCUAACUACGUG
rnacentral:rRNA from 1 species